CAAAGGCAUUAAUUGCCAAUAUUCUUUAAGAUUUGCAAAAUCUCUAUAAGAUCAUCUAAAUCUUGCAAAUCCAUUCAUAUCUCUCAAGCAACUCUCUCUCUCCUUCAUCCUCACCAAUCGGCCACCUCUCUCUCUCCUUUCUCUCUCAUAAUUCCUCCAUUGUCAACCAUUGGAGAGACCUCCGAAGCUUCACCAAAAUAUGCCAAACACAUAAAUCACCAACAAAAUUCCACCUAAACACCUCCUAUCAACUUGAAUCCAAGGAAAUCCUUGAAGAUUGGCUUCAAGACUAGUGAGAGAAAGUUUGUUUGUUGGUGAAAAACUUGAACACGAGCAGAGCAAGGAAGUAAGUAACUCCGCUUUGACGGGAGUUUUUGAGUAAGGUCUUCAGACUAAGCGAGGAGCGAGAUUGGUCUGGUGCUGGCGGGGAAAUGUUGGAGGAUGUAUUUACUUUAUCGUAUUUCCAUUUUGACGAUAAAGUCUUGAUGAUUGAUAUACUUUAAUUUUCUUUUGAAGUUAAGCAAUGUACUCACGGUUAUAUGUCUUCAUACAUAUAAUCGGUUCGCCUUUUUGCUGCGAUACUCUGCAUAUUAUGAUUCCUUACGAAAAAUGAGCGAUACCCGUUUUGUUUU